AAAGAAACACAUAUAGCUGCAAAGCGAAGUACCAUAAAUUUCUAAAUCCAUAUUCAUCAUGAGCAACAAAGUCUUUCUAGCCAUCCUGUUUUGCUUCCUCCUCAUUGUAUCCAAUGAGAUGCAAGGAGGAGAGGCAAAAGUUUGCCAAAGGCGCAGCAAGACAUGGUCAGGGCCUUGUAUUAACACAGGCAACUGCAGCCGUCAAUGCAAGAAUCAAGAGGAUGCUCGCUUUGGAGCUUGUCACAGAAGUGGAAUUGGAUUUGCUUGCUUCUGCUAUUUCAACUGCUAAAUGAAAAGAAAAAGAAACACCCUAGCUAUAUGUUUUGUCUCUAUUUAUAUGAGUAAUAUGUAACAGUGUUGUGUGUCUGUUUGAAUAAAGGGCGUCCAAUUUACUAGAAUUGGAAGUAGCCCUAGUUGUGUUGGUGUGUCAUGGCUAAACUUUGUAUUUCUAUCUGGCCAGCUUUUGUUGGUCUAUUAUUAAACGACGAGUGCGUCUAUUUGUUGUUUCA